rnacentral:misc_RNA from 1 species
GAUGAAGAACGCAGCGAAAUGCGAUACGUAAUGUGAAUUGCAGAAUUCAGUGAAUCAUCGAAUCUUUGAACGCAUAUUGCGCUCUCUGGUAUUCCGGAGAGCAUGCUUGUUUGAGUAUCAGUAAACACCUCAACUUCCAUAUCUUUUUUGAAAUGGCAGUUGGACUUGAGUGAUCCCAACGCUUUUCCUCACCGAAAAGUGGCGGGUUACUUGAAAUGCAGGUGCAGCUGGACUUUUCUCUGAGCUAUAAGCAUAUCUAUUUAGUCUGCCUAAAAACAGAUUAUUACCUUUGCUGCAGCUAACAUAAAGGAGAUUAGUUCUUGUGCUGACUGAUGCAGGAUUCACAAAGACAGGCUUCGGCCGACUUUGUAAACUCGAUCUCAAAUCAAGUAAGACUACCCGCUGAACUUAAGCAUAUCAAUAAGCGGAGGA